UGGAGGCUGGAGCUGGGAGGCCAUGAGCCACAGUGCUGAAACUUUCUCAAGUGGUGUUAGGAAAUGGAAGAUACCAAGAUUCAAACUGUUUCAAAAAGACAUGUUACAAAACUCCUCAAGUCUCCUGACACAGGAAGUAUGUCAUCCAAUGUGUAUGAACCUUGAGGUUAUGUAACCCUUGUGGAUGCCUUAAUGGAACAAACCACCUCCACACCGCUAGGACAUCAUGAAACCCCUUCUAGUGAGUGUUUACUUAGAAGCAAGUUCCACUGAACUCACUUGUACUGAUUCCUACGUAUAUGUGUUGCCUGAAUUAAAAGGCCAAGCAAGGGGUUGGGGGGUGGGGAGAGCAAAGAGUGCCCUUAACGGGGCUGGCCUAGCCCACGAUGCAAGCUAUUCCCAGAAUAUGGUCUCUUUAUGUUAUUUCAGAAAUAAAAUAGACAUAUU